rnacentral:lncRNA from 1 species
UCAAAUAGUCUAUUAGUCAUUACGAGACCCAAGUUAGCCUAACGGGUCGUUGAAACACUAAAAGUGUGUAAAGAUGCUUAUUUUCUAAUAAUUUGAAUCUAGACUAAUGAAACCAAAAAUGCAAUAAAUGAUACUAAAAUUGCUAGAAAACAAGUUUGUUAAGUGACCAAAAGUACUUAGAUUGCCACUACAAUUUGUGGCAGGUCAAAUACCCCCACACUUAAGUCAUUCAAGCAAACAAAAAGAAAACAAAAACAAACAAGAUAGAAAUAAAAUGAAAAGAAAACACACAACUAAAACUAAGGUACUUG